rnacentral:lncRNA from 1 species
AUGUAUAAUUAUGCUGUCUUUUCUGCGACAUGCGUGCUCCUAUUCAAGCUGAGUAGUUUACACAAGGUGAAUAAAAAGGGAAUGACGGCGUAUGACGUGGACUUCGGUGCAAACACAGUUUUCCUUGAGCUUCACCGCAUCCCGGGAGCAGCAGCUGGAUUCAAAGUCCGCCAACAAACAGCCAGAGGCAGCAGUCCAGGCAGGACAGCAGGCUGGGCACCUUGCUCGUUUCAUCCUUGUUCUUCCUCUGGACUCAGGGGGCCAGACACCUGCUUCAUCUAAAUGUUACUGAAACGUGAAGAAUACUCUGAUGAAGAUGAAAUCCUUAUAACCCAUCUACUCUCCAGAAGUCUUUGAGACUUAACCAGGAAAGCAUACGUAAAAU